CCUACGGGUGGCAGCAGUGAGGAAUCUUGGUCAAUGGACGAGAGUCUGAACCAGCCAAGUAGCGUGAAGGAUGACUGCCCUAUGGGUUGUAAACUUCUUUUAUAUGGGAAUAACAUGUUCCACGUGUGGGAUUUUGUAUGUACCCUAUGAAUAAGGAUCGGCUAACUCCGUGCCAGCAGCCGCGGUAAUACUGAGGAUCCGAGCGUUAUCCGGAUUUAUUGGGUUUAAAGGGAGCGUAGGGGGAUUGUUAAGUCAUUUGUGAAAGUUUGCGGCUCAACCGUAAAAUUGCAGUUGAAACUGGCAGUCUUGAGUACAGUAGAGGUGGGCGGAAUUCGUGGUGUAGCGGUGAAAUGCUUAGAUAUCACGAAGAACUCCGAUUGCGAAGGCAGUUCACUGGACUGCAACUGACACUGAGGCUCGAAAGUGUGGGUAUCAAACAGGAUUAGAUACCCUGGUAGUC
rnacentral:rRNA from 1 species